rnacentral:rRNA from 1 species
CAAUAGCGUAUAUUAAAGUUGUUGCGGUUAAAAAGCUCGUAGUUGGAUUUCUGCUGAGGACGACCGGUCCGCCCUCUGGGUGAGUAUCUGGCUUGGCCUUGGCAUCUUCUUGGAGAACGUAGCUGCACUUGACUGUGGUGGUGCGGUAUCCGAUGGACAUUUUACUUUGAGGAAAUAGGAGUGUUCCAAGCAGGCUCUCGUCGUGCACAGCUCAGCAUGGAAUAAUAGCAUUGGACCUCGAUUCUAAGCUGUUGGUUGCCAGAAGCGAGGUAAUGAUGAAGAGGGAUAGUUGGGGGUAUUCAUAUUUAAUUGUCAGAGGUGAAAUUCUUGGAUUUAUGAAAGAUGAACUUAG